GCCCUUCAGGCCUAACACAUGCAAGUCGAGCGGUUGAAGGUAGCUUGCUACCUGAUGCAGCGGCGAACGGGUGAGUAAUGCAUGGGAAUCUGCCUGGUAGUGGGGGACAACGUCUCGAAAGGGACGCUAAUACCGCAUACGCCCUACGGGGGAAAGGGGGGGAUCUUCGGACCUCUCGCUAUCAGAUGAGCCCAUGUCAGAUUAGCUUGUUGGUGAGGUAAAGGCUCACCAAGGCGACGAUCUGUAACUGGUCUGAGUGGAUGAUCAGUCACACUGGAACUGAGACACGGUCCAGACUCCUACGGGAGGCAGCAGUGGGGAAUAUUGGACAAUGGGCGAAAGCCUGAUCCAGCCAUGCCGCGUGUGUGAAGAAGGCCCUAGGGUUGUAAAGCACUUUCAGUGGGGAGAAAAGUGAUUCACUUAAUACGUGAGUUAAUUGAUGUUACCCACAGAAGAAGCACCGGCUAACUCCGUGCCAGCAGACGCGGUAAU
rnacentral:rRNA from 1 species